rnacentral:misc_RNA from 1 species
AAGUCGUAACAAGGUCUCCGUUGGUGAACCAGCGGAGGGAUCAUUACAGAGUUAUCUAACUCCCAAACCCAUGUGAACUUACCAUUUGUUGCCUCGGCAGAGCCUACCCGGUACCUACCCUGGAGCGAGCUACCCUGUAGCUACCCUGGAGCGUGCUACCCUGUAACGUUUUGCCGGUGGACCAUUAAACUCUUGUUAUUAUAUUGUAAUCUGAGCGUCUUAUUUUAAUAAGUCAAAA